CGGAAGGUGGAGGAGGACGAGCGCCUGAGGCUGGAGCUGCAGGUGGUGGAGGCGGAGAGGGUGCGGCUGUCCCUGCUGGAGGAGAAGCUGGUGGAUGUGCUGCAGCUCCUGCAGAGGCUGCGGGACCUGAACAUAUCGAAAAGAGCCCUGGGGAAGAUUCUGCUGAGCGCGCUGGACGCCUGCGGGGACCCUGCACGCGAGACAGCAGGCCCCUUGGCCACCCUGGACGCCCUGCACCGGGCCCUCGCUGGCAGUGAGCUCUUGCAGACUGAGCCCCCAGCACCAGCCGCUGCUGCUCCGGCGCUCGCCAGUCCCUUCCUCAUCCCCUGCUGAGGUCGCUGGCCAGUCUGUGGGCAUCCUGGUAAGCCAGACCGGUCUCCAGGGCCAGCCUGGCCACUGCCUCCGGGCAC